rnacentral:rRNA from 1 species
UCUGGUGGUAAAGCGUUGGGGUCACACCUGAUCCCUUCUCGAACUCAGAAGUUAAGCCCAACAGCGCUGAUGAUACUUGGGCCUGAGCCCUGGGAAAGUAGGUCGCCGCCAGAA